rnacentral:rRNA from 1 species
UACGUAGGUGGCAAGCGUUGUCCGGAUUUACUGGGCGUAAAGAGCGCGCAGGCGGUCGUCUAAGUCGAAUGUGAAAGCCCCCGGCUCAACUGGGGAGGGUCAUUCGAUACUGAUCGACUCGAAGGCAGGAGAGGGUAGUGGAAUUCCCGGUGUAGUGGUGAAAUGCGUAGAUAUCGGGAGGAACACCAGUGGCGAAGGCGACUACCUGGCCUGUUCUUGACGCUGAGGCGCGAAAGCUAGGGGAGCAAACGGG